AUACGGAGGGUGCAAGCGUUAAUCGGAAUUACUGGGCGUAAAGCGUACGUAGGCGGUUAUUUAAGUCAGAUGUGAAAGCCCUGGGCUCAACCUGGGAACUGCAUAUGAUACUGGAUAGCUAGAGUAUGGUAGAGGGAGGUAGAAUUCCAGGUGUAGCGGUGAAAUGCGUAGAUAUCUGGAGGAAUACCGGUGGCGAAGGCGGCCUCCUGGCCCAAUACUGACGCUGAGGUACGAAAGCGUGGGGAGCAAACAGGAGUAGAAACCCCAGUAGUCC
rnacentral:rRNA from 1 species